rnacentral:lncRNA from 1 species
CAUUUGUGGUGGGGUAGUGUUUUACUCUAAGAAAUGCUUGUUAAUGGGUACCAUUGUGGGAUAUACUGAAAGAACUGUAGGGACUGAGUCAAGGCAGCUUUUAUUCCAUUCUAUGAGAGUUUGAAGUGAGUGCUGAUUUUGUUUUACUACAGUUAACAUGUUUGUUGUUACCAUGCUGGGAUUCCUUGCUUAGAAUAUUAUUUAACCAGGUUGGAGAACUGUUUAUCAUAACUCUAAAAAGAGAAGUCACCAUUUUCAGGAUAUUUUAGGUCUGAAUUUUUGAGUUUAAGAAGUAAAGCAUAGACCCCUGGAUACAUGCUUUUAAAGCUUGAUAGCUCACAGUAGACAGUUUGUAAUCUGGAUCCCACUGGCAUAAUUUGCAGAUAGUAUGAUAUAUAGGUUAUGAGACUCUAUUUUCUGAUCCCCAUGGAUUACAAGUAUUUCAUGUAGCCCUUGGGUAAUUUAAUUGAAAGCUCAGAAUUAAAUAAUACUUAAGUUAUCUGCCAUUGCUA